CAAGGACAACCAGGAAGUAUAUAUUCCCUAUCAGGGUUGUGAUUGGUUACAGGGGGCCAUGAUAUCACAAGUGUGUAUACAUCAUCAAAAAGCAAUACAUAGACUGACAUUAUAAAAGGAGACCAAUAGAAGUGUUCCAUGUCAUAUAUGAUGUCAUAAUUAGGCACCAGGAAGAUAGGGAUCAAUGGGUGUGCAUCAGAACACAGAAGAGACAUUAUUUGUGUGAUUGCCGGGAGGACACGUUUCGUGACAGUACA